rnacentral:lncRNA from 1 species
AGUAUUUUACCGAGCUAGAGUAGCAGUUCUAUCUAUAUUUGAAAAAUAAUGGGUCAUUAGGGUAACAUUGUACGUGAUCUUUAAGGGCUCAGUCCUCCUUUCUGAUGAUUUGGGUGCAUCUUUUCUGUAAAUACAUAUGACACUGCACAGUGCACUCCUUGUGAGGACAGAGCACAUCUUUAGUGAUACAUAUGAGCAAAAAAACCAACUUACUCUGUAUUCUGAAGCAUCUAAGUAAGAAAGCACUUUGUGGAGAAAAACCACAAUGAUUCAGUUUCAUACAUAUGAUUCAUAAAGAUUAAUCAGGCUUAAACUAGAGCAUACAAGUUCUGCAUCAAUAUUCAAGGGUUUAUGUAUAUGUUACUGUACAUGUAAUUCCUUCAUAACAGGAAGGAGGGAACAAAUCUUAGAAGGAACAACACAGAAAUUCAUUGAACUAAGAUGGAAGGAUCAAUGUUGAUAAAUUCUUCAUUAACUACAUAUUCAAAUAUUCAUAAUGGAUAGAAGGAAUGCAGUUGAAGAAAACAAAAAACUAUAUGCAAUUUAUGACACAAGCGAUAAUUUUACUGGUACAGAAAGACUGUAUGUUGGAAAAAGAGCAAGACUGAAAAUGAACAAUGAAGAAG